AAUAGUUUUAUGCUACAUCAGUAUUCUUAUCCUGAAUUUCAGGAUUUUAUCCUGAAAAAAAUCAAAUCCAAAUUAAAAUACUAAAAUUCAGGAUAAGAAUACUGAUGUGGCAUAAAACUAUU
rfam:Gossypium arboreum cultivar AKA8401 contig_33683_1, whole genome shotgun sequence.